UACGUAGGCAGCGAGCGUUGUUCGGAGUUACUGGGCGUAAAGGGUGUGUAGGCGGUUUUCUAAGUUUGGUGUGAAAUCUCCCGGCUCAACCGGGAGGGUGCGCCGAAAACUGGGAGACUAGAGUGCGGGAUGGGAGAGUAGAAUUCCUGGUGUAGCGGUGAAAUGCGUAGAUAUCAGGAGGAAUACCGAUUGCGAAGGCAGCUCGCUGGGACGUUACUGACGCUGAGACGCGAAAGCGUGGGGAGCGAUCCGG
rnacentral:rRNA from 1 species